CCUACGGGUGGCAGCAGUGAGGAAUAUUGGUCAAUGGACGCGAGCCUGAACCAGCCAAGUCGCGUGAAGGAUGACUGCCCUACGGGUUGUAAACUUCUUUUAUAAAAGAAUAAAGUGAGGCACGUGUGCCUUUUUGUAUGUACUUUAUGAAUAAGGAUCGGCUAACUCCGUGCCAGCAGCCGCGGUAAUACGGAGGAUCCGAGCGUUAUCCGGAUUUAUUGGGUUUAAAGGGUGCGUAGAUGGGUUGUUAAGUCAGUUGUGAAAGUUUGCGGCUUAACCGUAAAAUUGCAAUUGAUACUGGCAGCCUUGAGUACAGUUGAGGUAGGCGGAAUUCGUGGUGUAGCGGUGAAAUGCUUAGAGAUCACGAAGAACUCCGAUUGCGAAGGCAGCUUACUAAACUGCAACUGACAUUGAUGCUCGAAAGUGUGGGUAUCAAACAGGAUUAGAUACCCGUGUAGUC
rnacentral:rRNA from 1 species